rnacentral:rRNA from 1 species
AUGGCGAGGGCACUGACCAUGGGUGUGGUCGCUGUGCUGGUGUUCCUGUGCGCCACCGCCGUGCCGGCCGCCGCCCAGGGGAAGAAGGGGCUGCCCAAGAACUCCCGCGUGAUCCACCCGAAGCAGUUCGGGAGGAGGGAACAGGUGCUCUCCUGCGACGACACCACCGACGGCAACAGCCCCUGCGUCGCCACCUGCGACAGGCGCUGCCCCAACGAGUGCGUCGUCAUGUGCCCAGGCUGCAAGACAUACUGCAUCUGCGACUUCUACCCCGGCGUGUCCUGCGGGGACCCGCGCUUCACGGGCGCCGACGGCAACAACUUCUACUUCCACGGCAAAAAGGACCAGAGCUUCUGUGUGGUCUCCGACGCCGAUCUCCACAUCAACGCCCACUUCAUCGGCAAGCGCAACCCCGCCAUGAGCCGCGACUUCACCUGGAUCCAGGCCCUCGGCAUCCGCUUCGCCGACCAUCGCCUCUACAUGGGUGCCCAGAAGACCGUCAAGUGGGACAGCAAUGUCGACCGCCUCGAGCUGGCCUUCGAUGACAUGCCCAUUGAAAUCCCCACCGCCAUCGACGCCAAGUGGCAGUCCACCACCGUGCCUGGGCUGACCAUCACAAGGAAUGCCGCGGCCAACGGCAUCAGGGUCCAGCUCAAGGGAGUUUUCGACAUCUUGGCCAACGUGGUGCCCAUCACACAGAAGGACUCCCGCAUCCACAACUACGGUGUGACUGAAGACGACAGCCUCGCUCACUUCGACAUCGGGUUCAAGUUCCACGGCCUCACCGACGACGUCCAAGGCGUGCUCGGCCAGACCUACCGCGCCGACUAUGUGAACAAGCUCAGCGUGAGCGCCAACAUGCCAAUUAUGGGCGGCACAGCUAGCUACGUCACCUCCGAUAUCUUCUCCACCGACUGCAAGGUCGCCCGUUUUGGCCGCGCUUCAGGAAUCUCCAUGGUCACUGGCAUCGCCACUUAA